rnacentral:rRNA from 1 species
UAGGGAAUCUUCCACAAUGGACGCAAGUCUGAUGGAGCAACGCCGCGUGAGUGAAGAAGGUUUUCGGACCGUAAAGCUCUGUUGUUGGUGAAGAAGGAUAGAGGUAGUAACUGGCCUUUAUUUGACGGUAAUCAACCAGAAAGUCACGGCUAACUACGUGCCAGCAGCCGCGGUAAUACGUAGGUGGCAAGCGUUGUCCGGAUUUAUUGGGCGUAAAGCGAGCGCAGGCGGAAGAAUAAGUCUGAUGUGAAAGCCCUCGGCUUAACCGAGGAAUUGCAUCGGAAACUGUUUUUCUUGAGUA